rnacentral:rRNA from 1 species
GUAGGUGGCAAGCGUUGUCCGGAAUUAUUGGGGCGUAAAGCGCGCGCAGGCGGUUCUUUAAGUCUGAUGUGAAAGCCCACGGGCUCAACCGUGGAGGGUCAUUGGAAACUGGAGAACUUGAGUACAGAAGAGGAAAGCGGAAUUCCACGUGUAGCGGUGAAAUGCGUAGAGAUGUGGAGGAACACCAGUGGCGAAGGCGGCUUUCUGGUCUGUAACUGACGCUGAGGCGCGAAAGCGUGGGGAGCAAACAGGAUUAGAUACCCUGGUAGUCCACGCCGUAAACGAUGAGUGCUAAGUGUUAGGGGGUUUCCGCCCCCUAGUGCUGCAGCUAACGCAUUAAGCACUCCGCCUGGGGAGUACGGCCGCAAAGGCUG